rfam:Canis lupus familiaris chromosome X, whole genome shotgun sequence.
ACAAAGGCUCUUUUCAGAGCUACCUCACUUGUCUGGAAAAGACCUGU